rnacentral:lncRNA from 1 species
CUAAAAAUAUCCUUUACCCUGAGUGAUGAAUUGGGCUAAAUGCCUUAUUAUAAGCACCCACGACCUUUGGAGUGAAUGAUUCAAGCUGUGAUUAAAUGCAAAUUGGUGCUUAAGAAUAAUUAGGCUGGGUGGCCUGCAAGCCAAGGGAGCACCGGAUCCAAUUACUUCUUUCCUGCAUGUUGAGCGCCUGAUCGAUCACACUUCUUGCUAUGGAACAGCUGGAAUCACACCUUCCUAAGUGCAGGGAUGGACUUUAGAUGAGAUCAAAAUAAACAUUCAUAAUAUGAAAAUCCUAUCAAGGCAGAUGGAAAUGGACACAAGCUUUGGGUCCAUGUAAUAAUUUUCCUUUAGUGACAAAUUAGCUCGAACCACGUCAGCAGACUAGCUUUCCCAGAAAAAGGCACUGCGAUGGGGUCGGGGUAUCUAAAACCCCUGAGAACCUGGCUUGGUGUCAUUAUAGAACUUGCUCUAAUUCCUUAGCCCAUGGCUUACGCAUCAAACUAACUGCUCAGAUAGUUUUUGGUCCUUUAAAUGUAAUAGCUAUUUCUGUAAAGCCUUUACCUAUCAGGCCCUGUAUGAGACACUUUGCAUGUUUCAUUUGAUUGUCAUAACUGCUCUAUGAGAAAAGUACAAUCAUCACUAUUUCACACAAGGGGAAAUGGAGGUAUAGAGAAGUACCCCAGAUGACAAAGUUAAUAAAGAGACUUUCAGAGAAGUGCUGGAUAACAGAAUAUGGUUGUAUCAGGAUGAACUCAAAAACGACCAGAAAAACAGUUCAACAGUUGGCCUGCUGUUGCUGAGUCAGUAGCAUCUUUAAACAGGAGCAGUAUAUAAGAGCAUGUGUCGAUGCCUGUGUUCUGAGCAGCUACAUCUUAAAGGGAUUCCCCCCCCCCAUAUGUGUCUCUGAACAGGAAUAUAGUUCAUCCUUAAGAUGCUUAGGGUUUGGGGAAAAGUUAAAUGACGUUUGUGGAAUAAAGGAAUGAAAAUAUUUUUCAAGACUAUAAUGAAUACUUUUCAUUAGGGAUUGUUUGAAAAGAGAGACAAAAGGAAGAAAGUGUUUUUUCAUGUAACUGCUAUGCCUCUGUGUGCAUUUUGCUAUAUUUUCCUAUAAUUUUAUUCUCUACCAUAUGUAUCAGUUAUCUAUUUUGUAUAAGAAAUUAUCCUCAAUUUAGUGUCUUAAAACAACAACCACUAUGGAGUUCCCAUCAUGGCUCAGUGGGAUCGAACCUGUGUCCUUAUGGCUACUAGUCGGGUUCUUAACCCACUGAGCCACAGUGGGAACUCCAGGAAACAUUUUAAAAAAGGAUUUUAUUUAUUUUUAUUUGGCUGCGUCCCAUGGCUGAAUGUGGAAGUUCCUGGGGCCAGGGAUCAAAUCUGAGCUGGAGAUGCAGCCAGUGCCACAGCUCCAGCAGCUGGAUCUUUAACCCAUUGCACCCGGGUGGGGAUCAAACUGGUGCCACCCUAGAGACAAGCAGGAUCAUUUACCCGCUGCAUUGCAAUGCAAACUCCCUGAAAGGAUUUUUGCUGAGGUAGUCAAACUGCUGUUACUAUCUUUUCUUUUUUUCUAUUUUCUCCCCACCUUGUAGCGAUAUUAUGCAAGUGAUUGUUGGCAUUGUUUAACUCUUAAAAAUAGUCAUAUGACAAUUAAACUAUUGCGACUUGAUUCUCUUUGUGAAUGUAACAGCUUUAUUGAGAUGCAAUUUACAGACUAUCCAAUUCCGUCAUUUAAAGUAUACAAAGGCCAUGAUUCUCAGCAUAGUCACAGAAUUGCGAGCACACGAAUUCUAGAACAUUUUCAUCACUGUGAAGAGAAACCCUAUACCCCUUUGCAGUGUGACUUAUGUAUUUUAUUCCAAAAAAGAAAUCACAAAUAGCAUCUUUUUGUGGUUGCCUUGGGACACCUUUUUUUACUUUUUGUGUGUGUGUGUGUGUGUGUGUGUGAUUAUAGAGUAACUUGCCCAACCCUCUCACAAUGCUGUCUUUUGGAGAUAGGAGUAAAAAUCAACCCUU